rnacentral:rRNA from 1 species
GUAGGGUGCGAGCGUUAAUCGGAAUUACUGGGCGUAAAGCGUGCGCAGGCGGUUAUAUAAGACAGAUGUGAAAUCCCCGGGCUCAACCUGGGACCUGCAUUUGUGACUGUAUAGCUAGAGUACGGUAGAGGGGGAUGGAAUUCCGCGUGUAGCAGUGAAAUGCGUAGAUAUGCGGAGGAACACCGAUGGCGAAGGCAAUCCCCUGGACCUGUACUGACGCUCAUGCACGAAAGCGUGGGGAGCAAACAGGAUUAGAUACCCUGGUAGUCCACGCCCUAAACGAUGUCAACUGGUUGUUGGGUCUUCACUGACUCAGUAACGAAGCUAACGCGUGAAGUUGACCGCCUGGGGAGUACGGCCGCAAGGUG